rnacentral:rRNA from 1 species
GGCUACUUCAAACCAUCGCGAACUCGUCCAAGUUGCUUCGGCGGCGCGGCACCCCUUAACGGGGGCGCCGCAGCCCUGCCUCUCCGGAGGUUCGGGGCGCCCGCCGGAGGUACGAAACUCUGUAUUAUAGUGGCAUCUCUGAGUAUAAAACAAAUAAGUUAAAACUUUCAACAACGGAUCUCUUGGUUCUGGCAUCGAUGAAGAACGCAGCGAAAUGCGAUAAGUAAUGUGAAUUGCAGAAUUCAGUGAAUCAUCGAAUCUUUGAACGCACAUUGCGCCCGGUAGUACUCUACCGGGCAUGCCUGUUCGAGCGUCAUUUCAACCCUCAAGCCCUGCUUGGUGUUGGGGCCCUACGGCUGCCGUAGGCCCUGAAAGGAAGUGGCGGGCUCGCUACAACUCCGAGCGUAGUAAUUCAUUAUCUCGCUAGGGAGGUUGCGGCGUGCUCCUGCCGUUAAAGACCCAUCUUUAACCAAGGUUGACCUCGGAUCAGGUAGGAAUACCCGCUGAACUUAAGCAUAUCAAUAAGCGGAGGAAAAGAAACCAACAGGGAUUGCCCUAGUAACGGCGAGUGAAGCGGCAACAGCUCAAAUUUGAAAUCUGGCUUCGGCCCGAGUUGUAAUUUGUAGAGGAUGCUUUUGGUGAGGUGCCUUCUGAGUUCCCUGGAACGGGACGCCAGAGAGGGUGAGAGCCCCGUAUAGUCGGCCACCGAUCCUUUGUAAAGCUCCUUCGACGAGUCGAGUAGUUUGGGAAUGCUGCUCAAAAUGGGAGGUAUAUCUCUUCUAAAGCUAAAUAUAGGCCAGAGACCGAUAGCGCACAAGUAGAGUGAUCGAAAGAUGAAAAGCACUUUGAAAAGAGGGUUAAAUAGCACGUGAAAUUGUUGAAAGGGAAGCGCUUGUGACCAGACUUGUGCCGGGCUGAUCAUCCAGUGUUCUCACUGGUGCACUCGACCCGGCUCAGGCCAGCGUCGGUUUUCGUGGGGGGAUAAAAGCUUCGGGAACGUGGCACCUUCGGGUGUGUUAUAGCCCGUUGCUUAAUACCUCCGUGGAGACCGAG